ensembl:miRNA
UAGGAUAGUACAAAAGUAAUUGCGGUUUUUGCAAUUACUUUCAAUGGCAAAAACUGCAAUCACUUUUGCACCAACCUAACAAA